rnacentral:rRNA from 1 species
GCGAAAAUUCUCCAAUGCACGCAAGUGUGAGAGAGGAAUCUUGAGUGUUUUUGUUAAAACAAAAACUUUUGUGUACUUUAAAUUGGUACAAGAAUAAGGGCUGGGCAAGAUCGGUGCCAGCAGCCGCGGUAAUCCCGACGGCCCAAGUGGGACUCACAAUUAUUGGGUCUAAAACAUUCGUAGCUGGUUUUUUAAGUUUCUUGUUAAAUUGCGAGGCUUAACCUCGUGGCUGCAAGAAAUACUAGAAGACUAGGGACUGGGAGACGUAAUGAGUACAGCAAGGGUAGUAGUAAAAUAUUUUAAUCCUCGUUGGACUAACAAUGGCGAAGGCACGUUACGAGGACAGAUCUGACAGUGAGGAAUGAAGGCCAGGGGCGCAAAAUGGAUUAGAUACCCAUGUAGUCCUGGCAGUAAACCCUGAUUACUAAACAUUGUGUUCUCCUCGAGAGAAUGCAGUGCUGAAGCGAAGGCGGAAGUAAUCUACCUGGGGAGUAUAGCCGCAAGGCCGAAACU